ACUCCUACGGGAGGCAGCAGUGGGGAAUAUUGCACAAUGGGCGCAAGCCUGAUGCAGCCAUGCCGCGUGUGUGAAGAAGGCCUUCGGGUUGUAAAGCACUUUCAGUUGUGAGGAAGGUGGUGUCGUUAAUAGCGGCAUCAUUUUGACGUUAGCAACAGAAGAAGCACCGGCUAACUCCGUGCCAGCAGCCGCGGUAAUACGGAGGGUGCGAGCGUUAAUCGGAAUUACUGGGCGUAAAGCGCAUGCAGGUGGUUUGUUAAGUCAGAUGUGAAAGCCCGGGGCUCAACCUCGGAACUGCAUUUGAAACUGGCAGACCUAGAGUACUGUAGAGGGGGGUAGAAUUUCAGGUGUAGCGGUGAAAUGCGUAGAGAUCUGAAGGAAUACCGGUGGCGAAGGCGGCCCCCUGGGACAGAUACUGACACUCAGAUGCGAAAGCGUGGGGGGAGCAAACAGGAUUAGAUACCCUGGUAGCACAGAG
rnacentral:rRNA from 1 species